rnacentral:lncRNA from 1 species
CAAAAUUUGCCUGCCCGACCUAACAUUUGCCUACUAGUUUCAAUCUAAAACAUGAUAUUAUCAAAAUUAGCAAAUCAGACGCCUAUUUUUGCAUCAAACAACAUCAAUUAAUCAAUACAAACUAAUCACGUUUAUUUUAUCCUAUCCAAUUCUCACCCCCCAAAUCCAUUCUCAACAUGAUUAACCAAUUCAAUAUGCAAUCCACCAAUCAAGUAAAUAUACAAUGCAUCAACACAAGAAAUAUAUCAACCCAAUACAAAUCACGCAAAUCAUGACAUCAACAUCACAAUAAAAUAAACAUAGAAAGAAAGAGAGUUAAAAAAAUGGACUUCAAUUUGACGCUUUAUUUCUUCAAUUAAACGGAGGAGCUUCACGAAUUCAGAUCCUCAAACUAAUCUGUAAAGUUAAAGAGCUCAAACUAGACUUCUUCUUUCCUUCAACUGAUGGUACGAUGAACCCAAGACAUAGACCCAUGAACUCAAGUUUUAUCCUAAAUCUCAAAAUUAAUUGACCAGAGUUGGAUGAAACAAAGCGGUCGGUUUCGUGGGACAUUUAUUCACUAAUUUUGGGGUGUCUUCGGUGAGAAUCGAUAAUAGUCAGAGCUGAUGUUGUUUGCUGGUGGAAUUUCACUGGAAUUAGCACAAAAGGAGCCUGUUUUGGUAAAAAAUAGGGUAGACGCUGGCUGUUGGUAGAUGGAGUGAUCCGACUAACACCUGCGGUGGAUUUGCCGCUGGAAUAGUGAGCACACACCACCUUUUUCUCUCGAUUUCUCUUAUUUACUCGCUAUCUCUUCUCUUCUCCAGUGUGUGUGGGGGAAUUAUUGUGUGUUGAAUCAAAAUGAAGUCUGUUCAUGUAGGUGGGUGUGUAUUAUGUAGCUUGUGUGUACGUAUAUGUGAUGGUCUGUGUAUUUGCUGUGUAUUGGUGUAUGUAAGUGGAUUUUUUGAAUAAGAAGAAGAUGAAGGUAUGUGUUGCUAUCUGCGUGUAUCCCUCCUUUUGUUAUGCAUAUGUGUGAAUGAAAAAUUCUAGUGGGGUCCCCCCCUUUUGUGCAAUUCUGUUAGUAUGGUAAAAAAAUAUAAUUAGGAGGAGUGUGUGGGGCACGUGGGUAAAGGUAGUUAGGAUGAGAUAAAAUUUGUUGGGGUGAGGUGUCAAAAAUGAUUGAGAGUUUGUUAGAUUUGUUAAUGAGUGAAAAUUAUCACAUGGGUGAAGGUCUAUGGUAAAGUGAGGGUAAAUUAGUAAAAAUACACUCUUGGGAUGGACAAAAUUACAUGUCUACAUCAUGCCUCUCUUUGGAUGUAAACACAAAGUGUUUUCAUGCAAAAAAGUAGACAACGAGACAGAAUUUUGACCCGACCAUUAUUCAAAGAAAGAAAUAGAAGGAGGAAGGACAAUCGAAUUGGAAUGUCUAGUGAGGUCCCCCCGAGGUUCAAGCCCGUGGCUCUGUCAUUACAUUAAAAAUAAAAAUUACAAGUUAAAAAGAUAAAUAAAAUUACAAAAGUCUUAUCUAUAAAGCUUCCCUUGACUUUUGUCUUGCUAUUUCAUUACCCUAUUCUCCAGGCGGGCUCCUGACUCGCAAUUUCUUUACUCUGUUCUCCAGGCGGGCUCCUAACUUGCAAUUUCUUCAACUUGUUUCUUGGUUUUCAAUUUCUUCACCUGUUCUUCAGACGGGCUCCUGACUUGCAAUUUUUCAAUCUGUUGACUUUCAAUUUCUUCACCUUGUUGCUUGACUUUCAACUUCUUCACCUUGUUACUUGACUUUCAAAUUCUUCAACUUAUUGCUUGACUUUCUAUUUAUUCGCCCUGUUCUUCGGGUGGACUCCUGAAAUCACAUCAAAACUAGAAAGAAAAUUAUCCUAAACAAUUGUUACUAUAAAGAGAGAUUUCAUUUGCCAGAAAAGUAAAGUUCCAAAAAUAGGAAUUAAAUUUAUUCCCCAGUUUAACAUUAGAGGACUUUUGUGACAGUCACAUCAUAACUACUUGAAAACCCCAAAAAAAGAAAUGCAUCUUCUAUGAGUUAAUUGGAAUGAUUCGACUAGAAAGUGCAUUUUCUAGGAGUCAAAGGGAAUGACUAGACUAGAAAGUACAUUUUCUAGGAAUCAUGGGGAAUGACUCGACCAGAAAGUACAUCUUCUAGGAAUCAAGGGUACAGACUCGACCAGGAAGUACAUCUUCUAGAAAUCAAGGGGACUGAUUCGACUAGGAAGUACAUCUUUUAGGAAUCAAAGGGAAUGACUCGACCAGGAAAUAUAUCUUCUAGGAAUCAAGGGGACUGACUCGACCCUGAAGUACAUCUUUUAGAAAUCAAGGGGAAUGACUCGACUAGAAAGUAUAUUUUCUAGGAAUCAAGGGGAAUGACUUGACCAGGAAGUUCAUCUUUUAGGAAUCAAGAGGAAUGACUCGAUCAGGAAGUACAUCUUCUAGGAAUCAAAGGGAAUGACUCGACUAGGAAGUCCAUAUUCUAGGAAUCAAGGGGAAUGACUCGACCAGGAAGUACAUUUUCUAGGAAUCAAGAGAAAUGACUCGACCAGGAAGUACAUUUUCUAGGAAUCAAGAGGAAUGACUCGACUAGGAAGUAUAUCUUCUAGGAAUCAAGGGGACUGACUUGGCCAGAAGGUAUAUCUUCUAGGAAUUAAGACUUAAGUUAGGAAGUGCAUCACCUAACAAGUAAAAUUUGAAUUACCCAAUCAAGAAAGUGCGAAUCCUUACAAAUGUUACUUGAAUUACCCAGACAAGGAAAUACGUCUCCUUACAAAUGCCACUUGAAUUACCCAAGACAAUGCAUCUCUUUACAAAUGCCGCUUGAAUUACCCGAACAAUAAAAUGCAUCUAUAAAUGCUACUUAAAUUAUACAGACAAGGAAAUGUGUCUCCUUACAAAUGUCACUUGAAUUACCCAGACAAGGAAGUGCGUCUCCUUACAAAUGCCACUUGAAUUACCCAAACAAAGAAGUGUGUCUCCGAGAGAUAUUGAAUUAUAAGUUUUACCAUGGUUUUGAUUACCAAAUUUGUGCAACAACAUUGCCCCCUUGCAUUUGUAGAUGUGAGUAAUUACGAGCUUUGAUGUUUAGGAUUUGAAGUUCUUGAUUUAAAGGUAACAUGUUUCCUGUUUCAUCAAAGAAAACUUAUGAGUUUAAAGCAUGGUGGUUGGUUUGUAGAUUUAGCUUUCGAGGCAAUUUCUCUUGCGUUGGUCAUAUUCAAUCUUGUUUCCAACCAUUAACAUAUGCCGUUGACUUGCUGUAUCAUUGACCCAAACUCAAAUUAUUAAGAGUGACUCUGAAAGAAAACACAAUACCUCUGCUUUACCAUGCUUCUCAGAUAAACUCUUUGAACCUUGGUAUUUCCAUGAGUUUCCAGAUUUUUCAUUUGAAUAACUGACUCAAGAAAACAAAAAUAAAAAUAUAAAGAAUAAAGAACAACAAUGAAUGUUCCUAUUGAAACAGAGAAAAGAAAGAAAUUAUCUGAAAGUGACAGAUAACUCUAAUGAUUAUGACAUGCAUUUUGGAUUAAACUGUCUGAUCUUUCCAUCCAAACUUUCACCAAAUUUUGUUGAGUUAAUGGCACUGAAAUUGAGUUAUUUCCUUGGUCCAAUCACAUUAGAGACCUCAUUUGGCUAGUGACGCCUAGAAGGGUUUUCGCCAACAAGCCUUUCUUAUUUUCUUUCUCUCAACUCACCAUUUUCCUGUGGUGUCCGUGAGCAUUUUCACCAAUAAGAUCUCCUAUUUUCAUUUCUCUAAACUCACUAUCGCUUUAUGGUGCCUAUGAGGGUUUUCACCAAUAAGACCCUCUCAUUUUUAUUUUUCUCAACUUACCUUUAUCUUACGGUGCCCGUGAGGUUUUCACCAAUAAGAAUCUCAUUUUUAUUUCUCUCAUGAUUCCUUAUGCUAAGGAAGACAAGAAGUUACCUAAAUUCGUAUCCAUUGCGUGUUUAGCCUUAACAUUCUCAAAGAUUGAUCUAAAGGUCUUUAUUUGGUUGUAACUUGGCUUUUGGACAACGUUCGAAAGAAAGGAUAGCGUGAGGCCCAAACAACACUUGAAGUGAGGUUGGACUUACAACUUUUAAAAUCGACUCAAAUAAUGAGGAUUAACGCAUGCCCUAAUUUUUUUGACUGGGUAAUUCUAAGUUGUUUAUUUGUUGGACCGUGCCCUAAUUAGGACAACCUACAUAUCUCAUCUCCGAGAGAGGAGAAGUAGGUCACGCGUAGUUCUGACAACUUAUUUUUUUGCUUGAUUCUGAUUUCUUCUCUCUUUUUUUCUUUAUUGACUCUUUUUCUCUUUGAAACUCUUUCUGACUCUAUUUUUCCCGACACUCUUCUUUUCUUUCUUUUUGACACAUUUUUUUCUCUCUUUUUUAUGAAACUUUUCGGACACUAUUCUUUUGAUCAACAUUUUUGGGGACCUUUUGCUUACUGUAUCUUGAUUCCAAAAAGGGGGUAUGAAAGAAAAUAGAACUAAAGCUCAAAUAUAGUAAACAAAGGAGACAUAAUAUUUGGAUAGCAGAAUGAAAUGCCUUCGCAUAUCAAUCCUUGAAAAUACAAGUACAUAUCAUGCAAUAUGAAAUAAAAACUGAAGAUCAUUUGUGACACUUUAACAACACUAACCUUAACUGAGCAUGUAUGCCACUUCUUCUUCCACACUUGCCAAACAUAUAACUCCCCCUUUGUUGUACAUCUCUCACAUCGAAUUAUCCAUGCUUUCGUAGAGCUGAUUUUUUUUCUGUUCCUCUUAAGAUAGGAUCACGCAGCCACUGUUUCACCUAAUUGAGACAUGUCUUUCAAUUGAUGACCAAGUCAUUCUUAUGAUUCUCAAAAUAAUUGCCUUAAUUUUCAAAGGAGGCUUCAACUUGUCACCAAAUGUCUCAGCGCUCUACUUAUUUUAUCAGAUUUUUUUUUCUAGCUUUAGCCCUCUAAUUCAAUGUUUCAUGAUUAAACUAUAUUUUAAGAUCUGACUGAAAAUUCUACUAGCAUGUCAUAUUACUAGAAUCAACAUAAAAUGUAUUGUUUCAAGAAAAUAAACAACACAUAUUUAAAACACAAAGAGAAAGGGACACUUCAUUUAGUUGAAAUAAAAGAUAGAAAGGUUUGAACAUAAACAACAAAAGGGACAAAACAAAAUAGAUCCUGAACCACAACCCUGAAAAUAAUUUGGAUAAUAGAAAAAGAAAACAAAACAAUCUACCAAACCCCUUUCUAGUAAGAAGAGGAGUGACUUCUUAAUUACUGAGCCUGACAUCUUAGCCACCGAUUUGCACCUCAGUAUGAUUAUAGAUUUCACCACUGUCGAUGUUCUGUACCAUAAUUGAUUUAUCUUGAAUCAUAUUUUCUAUUUCUCUUUUCAAAGCAUGAUAAUCUUUAAUACUGUGACCCUAAACAUCAGAAUGAUAUGCACAUCGUACAUUAGGAUCAAAACUUCUUGAAUGCGGGUCAAGAGUAUAUCCAAGGAGAAGUAUACUGUAUCUUGAUUCCAAAAAGGAGGUAUGAAAGAAAAUAGAACUAAAGCUCAAAUGGAGUAAACAAAGGAUGACACAAUAUUUGGAUAGCAGAAUAAAAUGCCUUCAUCAUAUCAAUCCUUGAAAAUGCAAGUACACAUCAUGCAAUAUGAAAUAAAAAAUAAAGAUUGUUUGUGACACUUUAACAACACUAACCUUAACUGAGCAUGUGUGCCACUUCUUCUUCCACACUUGUCAAACAUAUAACUCCCCCAUUGUUGUACAUCUCUCACAUUGAAUUAUCCAUGCUUUUGUAGAGCUAAUUUUCUUUCUGUUUCAAUUAAUAUAGGAUCACGCAACCACUAUUUCACCUAAUUGAGAUAUGUCUUUCAAUUGAUGACCAAGUCAUUCUUAUGAUUCUCAAAAUAAUUGCCUUAAUUUUCAAAGGAGGCUUCAACUUGUCACCAAAUGUCUCAGCGCUCUACCUAUUUUCUCAGAUGCUUUUUCUAGCUUUAGCCCUCUGAUUCAAUGUUUCAUGGUUAAACUAGAUUUUAAGAUCUGACUGAAAAAUCUGCUAGCAUUUCAUAUUACUAGAAUCAACAUAAAAUGUAUUGUUUAAAGAAAAUAAACAACACAUAUUUAAAACACAAAGAGAAAGGGACACUUCAUUUAGUUGAAAUAAAAGAUAGAAAGGUUUGAACAUAAAUGACAAAAGGGACAAAACAAGAUAGAUCCCGAACUACAACCCUGAAAAUAAUUCGAAUAAUAGAAAAAAAAAUAAAACAAGCUACCAAACCCCUUUCUAGUAAGGAGAGAAGUGACUUCUUAAUUACUGAGCCUGACAUCUUAGCCACCGAUUUGCACAUCAACAUGAUUAUAGCUUUUACCACUGUCGAUGUUCUGCACCAUAAUCAAUUUAUCUUGAAUCAUAUUUUCUAUUUCUCUUUUCAAAGCACGAUAAUCUUUAAUACUGUAAACCUGAACAUCAGAAUGAUAUGCACAUCGUAUAUUAGGAUCAAAACUUCUUGAAUACGGGUCAAGAGUAUAUCCAAGGAGAAGUAUACUGUAUCUUGAUUCCAAAAGGGAGGUAUGAAAGAAAAUAAAACUAAAGCUCAAAUGGAGUAAACAAAGGAUAACACAAUAUUUGGAUAGCAGAAUAAAAUGCCUUCGUCAUAUCAAUCCUUGAAAAUGCAAGUACAUAUCAUGCAAUAUGAAAUAAAAAAUGAAGAUUAUUUGUGACACUUUAACAACACUAUCCUUAACUGAGCAUGUGUGCCACUUCUUAUUCCACACUUGUCAAACAGAUAACUCCCCCUUUGUUGUAUAUUUCUCACAUCGAAUUAUCCAUGCUUUCGUAGAGCUGAUUUUCUUUCUGUUCCUCUUAAGAUAGGAUAUGUAACCAUUAUUUCACCUAAUUGAGACAUGUCUUUCAAUUGAUGACCAAGUCAUUCUUAUGAUUCUCAAAAUAAUUGCCUUAAUUUUCAAAGGAGGCUUCAACUUGUCACCAAAUGUCUCAGCGCUCUACUUAUUUUAUCAGAUUUUUUUUUCUAGCUUUAGCCCUCUAAUUCAAUGUUUCAUGAUUAAACUAUAUUUUAAGAUCUGGCUGAAAAUUCUACUAGCAUGUCAUAUUACUAGAAUCAACAUAAAAUGUAUUGUUUAAAGAAAAUAAACAACACAUAUUUAAAACACAAAGAGAAAGGGACACUUCAUUUAGUUGAAGUAAAAGAUAGAAAGGUUUGAACAUAAACGACCAAAGGCACAAAAUAAGAUAGAUCCCGAACUACAACCCUGAAAAUAAUUCAGAUAAUAGAAAAAAAACAUAACAAGCUACCAAACCCCUUUCUAGUAAGGAGAGGAAUGACUUCUUAAUUACCGAGCCUGAUAUCUUAGCCACCAGUUUGCACAUCAGCAUGAUUAUAGAUUUCACCACUGUCGAUGUUCUGCACCAUAAUCAAUUUAUCUUGAAUCAUAUUUUCUAUUUCUUUUUUCAAAGAACGAUAAUCUUUAAUACUGUGACCCUGAACAUCAGAAUGAUAUGCACAUCGUACAUUAGGAUCAAAACUUCUUGAAUGCGGGUCAAGAAUAUACCUAAGGAGAGGAGUGAUCAUACCUUACUGUACUAAUCUCUGGAAUAAGCUGGCAUACGACUCUCUUACUGGUAUGAAGUUAUUCCUUAACUUCUGUCUCAUUUCAUUGUUUGGCUUGGAUCGAAAAAUCUGGCCUAGAAGGGCUUUGGUAUGUUUGUGGAGUUGGAGGAUGACUUUGCAGAGUUGGUGCCUACCAUUAUGGGUAAGAAGGGGAUUAAACAUAUGGUUAUGCAUUGUAUACUGGAUAUGGAGAUGGGGGAAUAGAGUAUCAUGGAUUUUAGGAGUGAGUAUGUGGAGAUUGGGUAUGAAGUUGGGAUUGAGCCUGAGAGCCACGACGACGUGGUCUUCUUGACCGUGCCCGCUGUCCAACUACAAUAGUAGAUGCAUCUUCCUCAUUCUUCUUCUCCCCAAUACUUUCUGAACCCUUUUGAAUUGCUUGAGUUGUCACUUUCGAUGUUGCAAAACUCACAAUGCGAUUGGUCUUAAUUUAAUCUUCUAUCAUCUCCCCUAUUUUAAGGAUCUCAGUAAAUGGCUUACCUAAUGCUAGUAAAACUUGUUGAUAAUAUGCUUUAUCCUAUGCUUGAAUAAAAACCUCCACUAUCUUACUUUUUUUAAUUGGUGGUUUCACCCUAGCAGCUUGUUCACACCAUCUGAUCGCAUACUUCUUGAAACUCUCAGUGUUCUUCUUCUUCAGACCGGUUAGGGAUUUUUCAUUCGGGAUUAAUUCCACAUUAUAUUGGAAUUGUUGCACAAAUUCAUUAGCUAAAUCAUCCUAAUUAUUCCACAUGUCAAUGCCCUGAUCAACAAACCACUCUGAGGCUAGACCUAAAAAACUCUCACCAAAGUAAGCCAUGAGCAGUUCUUCUUUGCCUCCAACACCUCUUAAUUGGUUACAAUAAUAUCUCAAAUAUGCCACUAGAUCUCCAUAUCCAUCAUACUUCUCAAACUUUGGCAUCUUAAAGCCGAGGGAAAGGUUAACACCUGGAAACAUACAUAAGUCUUUAUAUGAGACACUUUUGUACCUCCCAAGUCCUAGAAGGUUAUUCAUAGCCAAUUCUAAACUUUUUACCUUUCGGGUUAUCUCUUCUUGUUCUUCUGUCAUAACAGGUUUUUAGCAUUAAGAGGAAAUUCGGGCGGUUGAGUAUAGCCAUAGGGACCAGUCAACUUAAAUAUGGGCUCAAGAGCAUAACGUUGAUCACUAAAAAUAUUCAAUACAGGAUCUCUCGUAGAGUGGGGAAGCACAACCGGUUGAUGAACAUCAAAAGUAGAGGCUUUAGGUGGUGGUGGAGCCACGAACACAGGUGUCACAGGUGGUGCAAGAUGAGCAGUGGGCCUCUGUUGAAAAAUUGCCAAAGGCACACUAGAAGUGCUAUGAUAGUACCGUUACAGAGUAAAUCCCGACACGUGUUGUGGUGUACCUGUGGGAAUGAAAGACUACGCCUGAGAAAGCGACGAGUAAUUGAAAAUGAAAUCAUUAAGUAAUGAAGGUAGAGGCAAGCCACUGGCUCAUACCCGAUGCAUCUCUGCCAUUUGUUGCCAUAAUUUUAACAUCUCUUUAUUUGAUCCUGAAUUCUCAUUCCCUGAAUUCUCUAUCUGAUUAGUGAAAAUAAUCUCAGUAUCUUUGUUGAUCGUAUCUUUCCUUUCAACUCGGUACAAUAUGGAGGACCAACCAAAAUGCCACAAACCAACCACCUUAAACUAACUGAACAAGAGAUAACAAAUGAAUUAGAGUUUAACACUUUCCCAAAAAAAAUUUCUCCUUUUCUUUUGAAAAGUUCACCGAACCCUAAAAGGGUGCCUACGUAUCUCACUCUCAAGAGAGGAGAAUCAGGUGUGCGUGGUUCAUUAAAUUUGGCCAGAAAAUGGCCAACCAAGCUCUUUCUUUUUUUUUUCGAAACUUUAUGAAGAAAAGAAAAUAAUAGAUUAUCAAAAGAAUUGGCGAAAAUAUUUUUUGAGUUUUUUCAGGUUUAACAUCCCUAUACAAAAUAAAACCUAUGAUUACCAAAGAAAAUCUUUUUGGGUUUUUGAUUUUGAAUUUCAUACAAAAAUGAAACUUGAGCCUAGUAAAGGAAUUUUUUUUUGUAUUUUCUUUAGAAGAUUGUAAGACCCCACAAAAUCUUAAGUUUAAUUUAGUCCUUUAAAGCUUAUUAAGGGGUCCCAGACUUAGAAAAUUUUAGCUAAGUAUUCAUACUUAGAGUUAUUUUAGCCUUCAUAGUUGGCGAUCUUAUUUUGCGACCCUUAUGACUAUCAAAUAUCAAUCUUUAAGUUGCUUCAUGAUUAGGAACGUCAGUGGGUGUUCUCGGAUGAGUUAUGGAAUUUUUGAACAUUGUUUGAAGCACGUUUGGGAGUCCAAACCAGUGUAUCGAUGUGAACUCAUUGCACCGCAUCGCCUAUCACAUCGAUGGAUAUUUUUCCCCAGCUACCAGUGCAAUUUCCAGUGAACCAACAUUAACUCAAUGCGGCGCGUCGGCCAUCGCGUCGAUCCCAUCAACGCGGCGUGCCGAUCUGCUCAUCGCUAUACCAAUUUUCAGUCAUUAAAAAUCCGCAUCCUCAGGGCUAUUUGGAUAAUUUUUCACGUCUAUCAGCCCCCAAAACAUGAGAUUUAGCUGCUUUAGAGGCAAAAUCCAUUCACUAUUCUCAGGAUUACUCAAGGACAAAACCCUAGGGCUUCUCAUUCAAGGUUCAAGAUUUAAAAACUCACAAUCAAACUUCAUUAAUUCAAGUACUCAGGUAUGUGAAGUGUUCAUCCAAAGAUUCCUUUCACCCUUGGAGUUCAAGAAACUCUUUUAAACUUUAAGUAGAUUGAUUUCAUGAUUUUUAUGAUUGGAUUUAAGUGUAUUCAUGAUUAUAAUGUUAAUUGGGUUUCCAUUCCAUGGUUUAUUACAAGAUUCAUGUGGAAUUGAUUAUCAUAUGUGUAGUAUCAUGUGAAUUCAUGUUAAAUCCAUUGAAUUUGUGAAUUUUGGAAUUUAUAUUAUGAUACCUACAUGUUGUUUUAGUAUUAGAUGCAUAGUUGUGUUCCCUAGGUGUUUGUUAAAAUGCUCAUGUUUGUUAAAAUGCUCAUGUGAAUUAAACGGAGAAAAAUAAUGACAUGCUAGUGUAAGUGUAAACUUAUGCCUUACAAGUGUUUGAUAAAAUGUCCCUAUGGAUGAGUUAUGAACAAGUGCACAGUGUUAUAAUUUUCAAGUUUACUCUAUGCUUUACUUUUUAUGCUAUCGAGUCUUGGGGGUAUUCAAUACCCAAAAACCUAGUUGUUUACCUAGAGCUACAGUAGUUAUAGAACAGUCUCAGUAGUGUUAUGAAUAGUAGUACUCAGUAAUUAGUCUCUGUUUAGUAUGUAGUUUAGAAUUCAGUGAACUUAGUCAGUUAACCAGAUUUAGUAGUAUUCCAUUAGUUAGCAAAGCCCAGUGAAUUCAGUUCAGUUCAGUUAGACAGUACGAUUAGUAAUAGUUCAAUCAAGCCUAGUAUAGACUAGAUAUCAGUUCAAUGUCUAUUCGGUUGAGAGUAGGAUUCAGCACCGAGCAAACCUAGAGAUAGAGGAGCAUAGGGUUUGAUCCUUAGUAGCAAUCCCUAUGUUACAGAACUAUGUAGCAAGCGUAGGUUGAGAUAUCUUUCUACUAGACUAGGGUUGAUACAUCUCGUAUGAGUUUUUCUGCCAACGAGGGUUGAAGAAAGAGCUUUCUGUCAGAGAGGGUUAACUUACAACUUGUCUUUACUCAUGGCAUGGUAUUAACACCCUUCCAACUGGAGUUAUAGGUUUGACCCCAAUCCAUUCAAAGAUGGGCAUGUCAGUUAAAUGAUUACUUUCUAUGGUUUCAGUUUUAGUUUCAAUUUCAGUAUAGAACUUAGUUCAGUUCUACAGAAUCAGGACUGUCAGAUACAGUCACCCAGCUCAGUGUAGAAGUCAGUUCUAUUCUACAAAAUUAGGACUGUCAGAAACAGUCACUCUGAUAUUAGUAUUACAGUAUUAGUAAACUCAAAUAUUAGUUAAUCAGUAUUCAGAACUCAGUAACCAGUAUUAACAUGAUCUCAAUUAUAGUUUAUGUAUUCAUACAUGUUCUUUCAUUCAGUUAUAUUCAUGUUACUCAGUCAGUUAUUGUUCAUGCAUACGAACCCAUUCAUAUCAGCCUACCUCACUUAGCAUACCAGUACAUUUAAAGCACUGAUGCUAACUUUUAUUUUGCGCUAUUAUGUCUUAUAUCAUAGGUUCAGAUGCACGGACUCCUGACCGUACUUAGCAGCCCAGCCUAUCAGUAGCAGACUUAGUGGUGAGUCCUUAUUUUUCAAGGAUAGAGUAUUAUUUUAGUAUUUCAGUACAUUUUUCAGUAGUCAAAUUUAGUUGGGGGCUUGUCCCAUCAAUUCCAUUAUUCAGACAGUUACAAGCUUUCAGACUAAAGUAUUUCAGAUGGAGGUUAGAGUUUUCAAUAUUC